ACCUUAGAGACCAUCUAAAUUUGUUCUGGGUAUAAGCUUUCGUGUAUAUGCACACUUCUUCAUUAAUCUUCAGAUAUCUUCAGGUGCUACUGAUCUGAAGAAGCGUGCAUGCACACGAAAGCUUAUACCCAGGACAAACUUAGUUGGUCUCUAAGGU
rnacentral:miRNA from 1 species